UAUAUACUCCCUCCGUCCAGAAAUACUUGUCAUACAAAUGGAUGUAUCUAGACGCAUUUUAGUUCUAAAUACAUCCACUUUUAUUCAUUUCUACGACAAGUAAUUCCGGAAGGAGGGAGUACUCG
rfam:Triticum aestivum genome assembly, contig: Triticum_aestivum_CS42_TGACv1_scaffold_641224_T_1DL-0.249102_3DS-0.136609